CAAACAGGUAUUUUGAGAUGUAUUAGUACAUCUGUGUUCAUAGCAGCAUUACUCACAACUGCUAAGGGGUGGACACCACUCCAGGGCCCGUGGGUGGAUGGAUGGACGGACAAAAUGUGGUCCAUCUACACAAGGUCCAUCUUCCAGCCUUGAAAAGGAAGGAGGUUCUACACAUGGGUGAACUUUGAGGACACGAUGCUCAGUGACCCCAGCCAGACACAAGAUGAAUACCGUGAUCCACUUACCUGAGGCUCCUGGAGGGUUUUAAAGAAGGAAAUACUGGUUUCAAAACACGUUUUCACAACAGAGCACUGGAGAAAACUUCCCUCGGACCCCAGGGUCCUUUCUGGAGAGAAGGCCCGCUCACGUCAGCCCUGCUCGGUGGCUGCAGCCGGACCCCAUGGACCCCAGGAGAGGAAGCUGACUUGGGAGCCGCCCACCUUGCUGGCUGCCGCGGGCACCCACCUCCUUCUCCGACCUGAGUCUCGGUUUCCAGGAGGCCGAGGAUUCCGUGCCCAGCCGCGGGUUCGGUGGGCUGCUUGCUGAGAACCUGGGGAUCACCUUGAGGGAGCGGCCACGUCCACUCUAAGAAAGGCGGCCCCCACCCUCAUUCGCCAUCGUAUCAGCUCCCUGGAGCUGCCGUAAGCACAGACAUGGGGCCUUCAGGCAACAGAGAUCCAGCCCCUCACGUUCCAAGGCCAGGGUUGGAAACCCAGGUGUCUGCAGGGUUGUUCCCUCCUGGAGACUCAGGGAGGCCCUGCUCCAGCCUGGCCUCCAGCUCCAGGGGCCCCGCGCGUCCUCCGUUUCAGCCACGUCAUGCCAUCACUACACAGCCUCCUCCUCUCGCCGUGUUUCCUGUAGGGACACCUGUCCCUGGACUUAGGACUGACCCUGGUAACCAGGACCAUCUCAUCUCAGGAUCCUCAAUGUAAUCACCUUUGCAAAGACCUCGCUUCCAGGAAAGGGGUCCAGGUGGAAGCAUCUUUGGGGCGGGCAUGAUUCAACCCUCUAUAGGAUCUGGACCAGUAUACUCCUUCCCAGAAAAGCAGCCGUGUCCAGACCACAUCCACAUGUGCUCUGCAGACCAGCACCUUGGGGAUGCAGGGUCCUGGACAGCACCCCCAGCAGGAUUACAGACAAGGGGUGGGGGUAUUGUUUAUGAUGCCAAUGCCUUUAGUCCAGGUCCCAGGAAGGAGUUCCUCAGGGCAGGGCUCCACAGCAUGAUGGAGCAAGAUACAAGCAAAGAAAGUUGGUGGGGUCGGUGGGGUCAUCCCCCAUCCUCCGUCACCCCUGGGGCUCCAGGAGGCCCUCGGGAGUGAGCUGGAAACCAGGGCCAGCUGCUGGGCUCAGGACAGAAGCCUAGGAAAAGACUCAGGGUUGGAGCACCCGGGAACCCAGGCUGGGCAGCGGUUACUUAAACCCAGAGCCGCAGCCCAGUCUGGAGGGAGCUUCAGAGGGAAGAAGCCAUGUGACAACUCUUAACAUGAGAAGGAGACUCUCAGGGCCUCAGCUCAGCCUGAGUACCGGGGUGACAGAGGGGGCUGGCUGCUUGGAGAUCCCGGGGCUGACAGGACUCCUGCUGGGGGUGAGUAGGUGAUCAGAUGGCUCAGGGGACAAGAGGGUGAGGUGUCACAUAUAGAGGGCAGGGCUGGGGGGUCCCAGUGGGGAGGGAGGUACACAGAGGAGCCUUACUGGUGCAUCUGCCCCAGGCUCUAGGUCAGCAUGAAGAGGAAGGAACAGGUCUGGCCCGGGGCAAAGGCUGUGGCUGGAUGGUGGCAGGGGGGGUGGGAACGGGGGUGGGGA